ACUUCUUCAUUUAUGUCCAAGAUUACAAUGAAGCUGAUCCAAGGACACAUCAAGGAUUGGACCUUACUAGGGUGACAACUAGAGAACUUAUAGCGUUAGUACCUCUCAGCUUGUUGCAUUAUACUCAUUCCAUUGCUAGUUUUGUCCACCACGCCCCUGGCAUAUACAAAAAAAAAGAACAAUAUACUUGUAAACCUGGAUAAGCCUUUUAGUCUAAUGAAGGUAUGAGUUAUGACUUAC
rnacentral:lncRNA from 7 species